CAGCAACCCAGCUCUCCAUAUGCAAAAUACCUGGACUCUAGAAAACUACAUGUCCAGUACUCCAGCCAGUUGCCUGGGUGCUCUGAGUUCUAAUUCUGGAGAGCCUCACAGCCAGCUGAGUCCAGAAGUCCCGCCCAAUAAUAUGGACUUUGGGCUAGCUGGGCAGACUGCAGUUGAGCCAGAUACCUGGAAGGCAGAACUCUUUCCAUUUAUUUAUACCAGAUGAGUCAAUUUGGACUGGAUAGUCAGCCGCAGUGGUUCAGUAACCAAUUUUUGCUGGACCCCUCCUGGAGGAUCCAUCCACACACACUUCAAACCCCAUCUCUGAGCCUGGAGGUGUUCCUACCAAGCAGCUACCGGGCUUGGCCAGCGCUUUGGCGCCCUCUGGCGGGCAUUACGUCUAAUGACAGCUCAGAGGCCUGCCUCCUGCCUCCUGAACAGACCCCUGGAUGGACUGCACUGGGCUUGUGCACUGGGUAGUUGCUGUAAUACCUCCUCUCAUUCUAAAACUACCAUUUUCCUCUCAUAGUCAGCAAUGGUGCUCACGCCUCCCAAUCCUUCCCCUCUAAGUCAUUGAGCCGAACCCACUCCCAAUCACGUGACCAGAUUUCAAUGAAUCAGCCUCCCCGUCUUCAUUUCUGCCACUUGGGUCGAGGUGAGAUUUUCACCAUCAGGGGUGAAUGAGAGGAGGGGAGAAGCUCAGACGGAAGGAAAAGAAGGAAUCUUACAGAAAACCUUCAAGAGAUGAGUCUCUGGGAUGGAUGAACCUGCUGACCAGAGAAAUGCUGCUUUUGCACCCUCCAUUCACAGCCACCCACCCAGCUGCCCAGAGGCCACACACUGCGCAAGCCUGUUCUGGGAGCGCUGCAAGCCCGGUAUUCCAUCCCACACCCUUUUGUCUCAGAUGCAGCCUCUGCAGAAUCCAAAGCAGUCAGAACGCUUCACGGACUGUCCAAUCAUCUGGACUUCAGGCUACCUGAGCUGUCAGAAAGUGACCCGCAGAUGGGAAGAGCAGGACAAGGUCCUUCCUAUCAGGAACAACCAAGUGCCUUCCAGGAGGCAGGUAUUUCCCUCUCACAGUCAUCCAUGGCACUCACUCCUCCCUAUCCCUUAGCAUUCCUCUUAGCCUAUGAGCUGAACCCACUCCAAAUCAAGUAACUGGAUUUACAUUAGAUCAGCCUCCCCUCUUAAUUUAUGUGACCUGUCUUGAGCUAAGAUUUUUUCCCUUAGGGGUGAAUGAAAGGGGGGAGAGGCUCGAAUGGAAGAAAUAGAAGGAAAUUUUCAAAGAAUCCUCAAGAGACAAGUUUCAGGAAAUGUACAACCUUCCCACCAAGGAACCUCUGCUUUUCCACUCUCCAUUCAUGACCACCCACCCAGCUUUCCAGAUGCUGAACAUGGUGCAGGCAUGAUCCUGGAGCACUGCAUGUCCAGUAGCUAAGACAACUACAUCUGUGUUCAGUUUUCUGCCUCCGCAGAAUCCAAAGGCAGUCACUACUCUUGCCAGCCUGCCCAAGUGUCUGGACUUGAGGCCACCUGAGCUGUCUGAGAGCGCCCCACAGAUGGGGAGGCAGAACAGUGUCCUUUCUCUCAGGUGAGGUAAUUAUCCUGAGAGUCAGUGGUGCUUUGUGUCCUACCCCUGCUCCCUAGGCAUGUCCUGGGGGAUCCACCAGCCCCAUCUUCGACUCUGGCUCUGUGCUGGCACAGGCUGAUCCCAAGCAGCCUCUGGGCUUUGCU
rnacentral:lncRNA from 1 species